rnacentral:SRP_RNA from 1 species
CGUCUGCAUCUUCGCGACGAUCGUCCGUGAACCCCGUCAGGCCCGGAAGGGAGCAGCGGUAGCGGUACCUGAUCGGGCGCCGGAGUCCUGCGGGCGCGG